rnacentral:rRNA from 1 species
GUAACCUCUAGUUUCGCUUGCUGGCGAGCCUUGCCUUUUGGCUGCCGGGUGAUUCUGUCCCCGGGUCCGCGCUCGUGACACACCUUAGACUCUGUCUGAAGAUUGUAGUCUGAGAUUAAAUAUAAAUUAUUUAAAACUUUCAACAACGGAUCUCUUGGUUCCGGCAUCGAUGAAGAACGCACCGAAAUGCGAUACGUAAUGUGAAUUGCAGAAUUCAGUGAAUCAUCGAGUCUUUGAACGCACAUUGCGCCCUCUGGUAUUCCGGAGGGCAUGCCUGUCCGAGCGUCAUUGCUGCCCUCAAGCACGGCUUGUGUGUUGGGCUCCGUCCUCCUUCCGGGGGACGGGCCCGAAAGGCAGCGGCGGCACCGCGUCCGGUCCUCAAGCGUAUGGGGCUUUGUCACCCGCUUUUGUAGGACUGGAUCGGCGCCUGCAGAACAAUCAAACUUUCCAGGUUGACGUCGGAUCAGUAGGCGAUACCGCUGAACUUAAGCCAUAUCAAUAAGCGGAGGAAAAAGAAACUGACAGGCAUGCCCCAAGUAAACGCGAAUUGAAGCGUCGAGUAGCUCAGAGUUCUACAGGCUGGCUCGUCGGGUCCCGCUGGUUCACCUACGAAAAAAUGUGCCGCGGCUA